CGUCUCACAGCCCUAUGGGCGGUCACGGCCUGUUACAGCGAUAGCUUUACCUUUUUUACUUUUAAUUUUAUUUGAACCAGUGUUGUCUCAACCAUUGAUUAGCGGCGAAGUUUUAACACUCUCAAUAACAAUUAAUUACAAAAGUACUUUUUUAAAUUUUGGGGAGAAGAUAACUUAUUUAUGAUCUGUGUUUUUCUCGUCCACUGUAACAGAAUAAUUUGUGCAUCUAUCCCAAACGCCAUUUUUAUUUUAGAAUUAUAUGUAUAUGUAUAUAUAUAUUUAUGGCUGUAGGCCUAAAAUAUUAAAUGUUCGUGGUAGAGUUACACUUAAUCGGCUAACAAUGUAGUUUGGAUUAGAAACACUAAUUUGCAUAAGAAUUUAAAUCACUUUAACUCGAUUUAAAUUUUAAUUUAAAGGCCUAAUGCAUACCGAUGUUGCAAACUAUUCUAUCUUUCGAAAAUAAAAUACUAGAAUAUAUACAUGUAAUUUGUCAUAAUAUCAAAUCAUGAAGUUUAAAAAUAAAGUUACGAAAUUACCCAUCACUGUACUUGGAGUAGACAUGGUUGUUCGCUUAGAAAUAUACUAUGCACACAGUCCAUGUUUCUCUGUCAUAUCACAGGUACUUUGUUUGCUAAUGUUAGGACAACUGGAAUGCUAUUAAAUAGUUUUUAUAAUAAGUAACGCCGUCUGUACAGAGUAUACACGAAGCUGAAUUUCGGAAAUUUUCUGAAUAAAUUUCUUCUCAUUAUUAUUAUUUACGUUUAAAAUUCACAGAGUUCUUUUCAGGAAAACAACUGCUGCAUAAAUCGAGAAUUGUCUUUUAUCGAAGUCUUAACGGGUUCCAAGGUAAUUAAACAAAAGGGAUUUGUGUGAUAACUUAAGUCCGGAAUCCUUGGACUUAUUUUGUCGCAGAUCAUUCUCCCCACCUGCUUUACCUACUUACAAAUAGCAACAUACAUUAAUAAUCACGAACAGAAAAUCUAGAGGCUGUUAAAGGCUGUGCACAUAUUUCAUAAUUUGAUGUACAGUCCGUAUUUUUAGGCAUGGCCUCUAGACUGCGCAUGAGUGGAAUUGGGGGGAGGGGAAGUAUUGGAACAAGUAUUCAGCCAAUAGUUGCAGCUGCAUUGUUGGAGGGAGGGGAUGAUGAUGCAUCGUGUCUAGACCCUGUUAUGAACCAUACAUACCUAUUACAAACCCCAUCUCAGUCAAUGGACUCGACCGAAUUGACUGCUCACUUCAUUGAGAACGGCCAGGUAUAAACAUAUGAACAGUAGUAUACGUGAACGGAAGUCUACACGGGGCAUUUAAUACGUGGAUAUUUCGCCUCAGUCUCCGAAAUUCAGGAAAAUGUUGCAAAUUCCUAGCUGCCAUUGGAAGAGACUCGUGUAGAAUUGAAACAUGUGGAAAGUCCAUUGACGUUAGACGAAACAAUAUAAUACAAGUAAUUAAAUAUGUAUUUAUAUUACUUUUAGUAUAGAUGAUCAAUUCCUGGGGUUAUAGACUUCAGUUAAAAAUGUAUUUUGUGUAAAUGAACUAAUAUUACAUUAAAUUUUGAUAAGUUUUAUAUUACAUGAGAUUUUUGGUUCUGAUAGUGGUGUUUGUGAAGAGUACUACAAUUCAUGUAUUCUUAUAGCAAAUUACGGACGUUUCGGAAGAAAAUAACCUUCUCCGACAAAACAGCAAGAAGCAGACAGAUGCUGUUUUGUUUCUUACCGGAUUUACGUCCUCCGAAACAUACAUAACUCCCUACCAGACUACGCAGCGCCACAACCCAGAAGAAUGUAUUUUAAUUAUGCACUAACAAAUGAAAACACAUUGCCGCGCUGUUGUGUCUUACGGUAGUUAAGGGGGUGGGGGGCAUUCAGCA